ACCCCCCCACCUUCUCCCCACACCGCCGCCUCCCAGCCAGCCACCGUCCCGGCCACAACCUCCCAUGGCGCCGCCCCCACGCAACGCGCAGGUAGCCGACCGCCGUCGCGCCACCCUUCAGCAGGUCGCCGUCCUACCGCCUCUCCCCAUGCCGGCAGCACGCACCUGCCCACGAGCACCAUCGGUGUCAAAGCAUCGCUAUCCCCUGCCGCCCCGGUGGCCUCCUUCUAGGCCGCGACAACCGGAUCUAGCCUUCCCUGCCCCUGCAUCCUCUCGUUGCAUCGCAGUGGCCGGAUCGAAGUAGCCCCCGUGGAUCCAACGUGGAUCCACCGUCGCCGUCAGCGGCUGCUUUGGAUCUGGGGAGUCCUGCCGCCUCCGAUGCAGGUUGCCGCCGGAUGCCCCUGCCUCCUACUUCGGUGACUCGCUGCUUCAGGGAGCCCCGAUGCGCCAACCACCCCGAUGCACCAGCCUCCCCUGCUUUCUCCCCACAGACGAACAGGCAACCACGCCAUUGUUUGAGAUUGUUGCAGUUCAUUUUUUAUUUUUGGAGGAAAAUCAGUGCACUGCAGUUUGUUUUUCCCGUCGAUGAGAUUUGUGUAUUUUGUGUUCUUCUGAAGACAAAUAAAAUUGCAAAUGCAGUCCACUGUACUUUUGCUCUUGAGGUUCAUUUUACUCUCUCUUUUUUGCAGAAAAGAUAGGUGAUGCAGUCCGCCGGCCUCCUCCCACGGCGAAUUUGGGCGACGCACGGGCUCCUACCCCUUUGGGUGUUUUGCAGUGCAACGGGCCUCUUCAUGAAGUACACUGGCUCCGCGGCGAGCAGUGGAGAGGACACGGGUGUGCAGUUCCCCGUCCCCAUAGUUGUCCCCUGAACCUGUAGAAGCCCAUCUUGUAUGUGAGCAUAUGGCUAGAAACAUUGCGGUGUGGUUUCGGUGGUCGUCCACGUGCACUUUGUUUGGGGGGCAGUACGUAUGUUCUUUGUGGAUGUGCACUUCAUUCGGGCCGAGCUUCGUGAAGCUCAGUUUGCACUCCAUCGGAUCUGGGCUCCUGAUGCGGUGGUGCGCACUGAGAUGGUCGGGGAUGCUCGAGGCUGGAUCCAGGCGUCCCGGUGCCUCGCCGGAGGAGGCAAGAAAGAGAUCCCGUCGCUGGCCGCCUAGCUUGCCGGAGGAUGAGGUCAGGAAACGGUGGCUGAGGUGGAGCAGCUCCUUCCCACCUAAUGAAUAGUUCCAGCAGCAUUCCAGGCCGCAUCCACCACGGAAGAAAUGUGGUGCACUUCGGUUGGACGCCGCAUUGCUUCCUCCCCCUUCUCCCCCUGCUUCCUCUGCUCGCCGGCCGGUCGAUCUCCACUUGCAGUGCACACGGGCGCCCCUUUGUAGUGCACACGAGCGAUUGUACGACACAUCUCCAAAAAUGAUGCUACAACCCGCAAGCCCUGCAUCCCCGCCUCCCUACAGUUUACCUUUUUUCGAAAGAGAAAAAACGAAGUGCGAGAUGAAGUCAACUGUGGUUUGAAUGCAAUCGGUGUGGAUGCCCUUUACCCAAAAUUGGUGGAUGAAGUUCACUGUUUUUGUGUUUUUCAGUAGAGAAAUCAAAGUAGAAAAUGCAAUCCACUAUUCUUCUUGCUCUUGGGGAUCAUUUGACGUUUUUUUGUAGGAAAAAAUGGGUGGUGCAGUUCGGUUCGAUGCCCCGUUGCUCAAAGUUUUUUUUGUUGAUAGCUGCAGCUCAUUGUAAAAGAACACUGAAUGCCAUUUGGUGCAGUCUGUAAAAGAACUCUAAAUGUCAUUUGGUGCAAUUCAUUGUUAUAAAAAUGCGUGUGGUUAAACUCAGAAAGAAAGAUGUGGUUCAAUGCUCUCAACUCUUGGGGGAUCCAGCCCACAUGAAGUGCACUACUGUUGUAUCGCAGUCCAAUUCCCCCUUAAUAUACAUUGGACAUGGGAAAUAAAAAUUUGUUUCGAGAGGUUCAGUUUUGUCCAACAAGUUCAGUUUUAUUGUGUGGAGAGGUUCUCUCCACUGUACUAUACACGUCUUUUUCUUUUUUUGGAGAGGUCACUUCAUUGUACUAUGCAUUUCUUUUUGUUUAGAAAAAUAACAAAAAGAAUCGUUUGCAGUCCUCUCUCAUGACAUUGCAGUGCGCUUUCCCGUGUGAUGAAGCACACUAACAUUGAUAAUAUGGUACACUUGCGCCUAUGAAAAAAAUUAAAAAAUUAUAAGGUUCACUUCGCAAAACAUGUAGCUCCUCUAGUGUGCACUUGGGGUUCGCCAGCUAAUGAUGCAUGUCGUGCGUUUUGCCGGUGACCAUACUGCAGUCCCUCAUCGCUGACGUGAGUUGUUUUGCAGCUCACUCUUUUUUUCUUCUAGAAAUCAUUUGCAGUGCACUCAGUAAGAAAAGAGAAGAGAAUAUUAAUGUUCAUUUGAAGUCCAUUUUGUUGUUUAUGAGGAACGCAAAGAGAAAGACUAGUAAGAAUGGAUGGUCAAUUUGUAUAGUUUUUGCCCUAGUGUAGUUCGGUUGGGUACUUGUGUUGUUGAUUCUGCUGUGUACCGGAUGGUUGCGUGGCUAUGUGAAAAUAAUGAGUGGACAUGUAUGUUUUGAAGCUCACUUUAUUCUGUCACGCAGUUCGCUAUAAAACUCCUUUGAGGUUCACUUGGUACUCCGAAACAAAACACCUUCAGAAGAAGCUCGCUACUCAUUGCAUGCAGUGUGUUUGGUCCUCAGAUGUGGUUCACUUUUGAGAGUGAUGCUGCUCACUUGCACAAAGCGUGGAAGUGUGAAAAAAAUUAGCGAAACAAAAAAUAGUAGUGCGGUUCACUUCCAUGUAUGUUGUGGUUCAUUUGCACUCGUCUCUACAGUCCACUGUGGUUCAUAAUAAAUGUUUUUAAAAAAGGAAAACAAAAACUCGUUCGAGAUAAAUUACGUCCAACAAAAAAAAAUCAUGAAGUUCGCUUGACUGUCUGAUGGAGUGCGAUUUUCCAUCCGAAGCAGUGCGUUCUUCUGUCGUUCACAAAAGCUUAUCUGAGAAAAUUUACGCCCGACAAGAAAAUCAUGAAGUUCGCUGGACUCUCUGAUGCAGUGCGGUUUUCCGUCCGAAGCAGUGCGUUCUUCUGUAUUUCAUAAAAAAAUGACAACAAAAACUCACAAAAAGCUCAUCUGAGAAAAUUUACGCCCGACAAGACAAAUCAUGAAGUUUGCUCGACUGUCUGAUGCAGUGCGGCUUUCCGUCCAAAGUAGUGCGUUCUUUUGUCGUUCAUAAAAAAAUGACAACAAAAACUCACAAAAAAGCUCAUCUAAGAAAAUUUACGCCCGAUAAGACAAAUCAUGAAGUUCGCUUGACUGUCUGAUGCAGUGCAGUUUUUGUCCGAAGCAGUGCGUUCUUCUGUCUGAUGCAGUACACACGUCGGUUUUGGUGUCGCGAAAAACAGAGUAUCCGCAUUUUAGUAAUUU